UACGUAGGGUGCAAGCGUUAAUCGGAAUUACUGGGCGUAAAGCGUGCGCAGGCGGUUUUGUAAGUCUGUCGUGAAAUCCCCGGGCUCAACCUGGGAAUUGCGAUGGAGACUGCAAGGCUAGAAUCUGGCAGAGGGGGUAGAAUUCCACGUGUAGCAGUGAAAUGCGUAGAGAUGCGGAGGAACACCGAUGGCGAAGGCAGCCCCCUGGGCCGACACUGACGCUCAGGCACGAAGCGUGGGGAGCAAC
rnacentral:rRNA from 1 species